UACGGAGGGUGCAAGCGUUAUCCGGAUUCACUGGGUUUAAAGGGUGCGUAGGUGGGUUGGUAAGUCAGUGGUGAAAUCCCCCGAGCUUAACUUGGGAACUGCCAUUGAUACUAUCAGUCUUGAAUACUGUGGAGGUCAGCGGAAUAUGUCAUGUAGCGGUGAAAUGCUUAGAUAUGACAUAGAACACCAAUUGCGAAGGCAGCUGGCUACACAAAUAUUGACACUGAGGCACGAAAGCGUGGGGAUCAAACAGG
rnacentral:rRNA from 1 species